CAGCCCAGCAAACUUCCGUUCAAGCGACCGACCCCAGACACGGGGCAGUGCACAAGGAUGUGCACUGCCGCCAGUGAGCCAAGGAUGGCUCAUCUGGCGGGCACCCCGCUCCCCAAAGUCAGGAGCUUGAACGGUUAGUUUGCUCUGCGU
rfam:Desulfosporosinus sp. OT TOT.assembly.255, whole genome shotgun sequence.